AUGUUAGAUACGUCGGGUUUAUCCAAGGCAUGGUGGGGGGAGGCUAGAAUGACAUCAUGUCAUGUCCUGAAUAAAGUUCCGACAAAGGAUAACGAGAUCACUCCUUAUGAGAAGUGGACCAAGAGAAGGACAACACUCUCGUACUUACGUACUUGGGGCUGCUUGGCGAAAGUUAAUGUGUCGAUCCCCAAAAAGCGUAAGCUUGGACCAAAGACUGUGGACUGCGUUAAUUUGGGCUACGCUAUGAAUAGUGUUGGCUAUAGAUUUCUAGUAGUGAAAUAUGAGGUACCUGACAUGAAGGUUGGUACAAUUAUGGAGUCUAAGGAUGCUACAUUCUUUGAGGACAUUUUCCCCAUGAGAGAUGUACAAAGCACUUCUAGACAGGAAUCUGAGGAGACUCCUGAGCCUGCCAUUCCUAUGGAAUAUUAUGAACGAACACAUGAUGGGAAUCCUGAGGAGGAUGACGAGGAAACCCUUGGUAGGGGCAAGAAACAAAGGACUGCAAAGACCUUUGGUGAUGAUUUCUUCGUGUACCUCGUGGAUGAUACUCCUACUUCUAUUUCAGAAGCGUAUGCCUCUCCAGAAGCUGACUACUGGAAGGAUGCGGUCCGUAGCGAGAUGGAUUCCAUCAUGGCUAACGGGACAUUGGAGAUCACUGAGCAUCCCUAUGGUUGCAAACCAUUGGGAUGUAAGUGGGUGUUCAAAAAGAAGCUUAGGCCCGAUGGUACGAUUGAAAAGUACAAGGCUAGACUUAUGGCCAAGAGCUAUGACCAGAAAGAAGAGGAAGAUUUCUUCGAUACUUAUUCACUUGUGGCUAGACUGACCACCAUUCGAGUAUUACUCUCGUUGGCGGCCUCGCACGGUCUUCUCGUCCACCAGAUGGAUGUUAAGACGGCUUUUUUGAAUGAAGAGCUAAACGAGGAAAUCUACAUGCAAUAG
rnacentral:rRNA from 1 species